CCUACGGGGGGCUGCAGUGGGGAAUUUUGGACAAUGGGGGCAACCCUGAUCCAGCCAUGCCGCGUGAGUGAAGAAGGCCUUCGGGUUGUAAAGCUCUUUCGGCCGGAAAGAAAGCCUAUUUCCUAAUACGGGAUGGGGUUGACGGUACCGGCAAAAGAAGCACCGGCUAACUACGUGCCAGCAGCCGCGGUAAUACGUAGGGUGCAAGCGUUAAUCGGAAUUACUGGGCGUGGUGCGUGAGCAGACGGGUGAAAUCCCCGGGCUUAACCUGGGAACUGCGCUUGUGACUGCGAGGCUGGAGUAUGGCAGAGGGGGGUGGAAUUCCACGUGUAGCAGUGAAAUGCGUAGAGAUGUGGAGGAACACCGAUGGCGAAGGCAGCCCCCUGGGCCAAUACUGACGCUCAUGCACGAAAGCGUGGGGAGCAAACAGGAUUAGAUACCCUUGUAGUC
rnacentral:rRNA from 1 species